rnacentral:rRNA from 1 species
UACGGAGGGUGCGAGCGUUGUCCGGAAUCAUUGGGCGUAAAGGGCGCGUAGGUGGCGGCUUAAGCGUGCGGUGAAAGCUCGGGGCUCAACCCCGAGUCGGCCGUGCGAACUGAGUCGCUUGAGCACUGUAGAGGCAGGCGGAAUUCCGGGGUGUAGCGGUGGAAUGCGUAGAGAUCCGGAAGAACACCGGUGGCGAAGGCGGCCUGCUGGGCAGUAGCUGACACUGAGGCGCGACAGCGUGGGGAGCAAACAGG